UACCUGAAAUAAAAUCAAAACAACGUCAGAACAAAAUCAAAACAGCUAUGUGCAGUUAAGCCUUCGAUCGUAUGCUCUAUGCUAUUUUUCAUUCUUUCUUUUUUUUCUUUUUUUUCCGUUCGUAAGAAAGUGUGUCGCGCGUCUGCGCAAAGCGUAAUAAGUCGAGAUACAUUUUUCACUUUUUUAACUCUUCAUUAACUUGAAUAUUAAUGGAUUAAUUUUACUUCGAACGUUAAUUAAAUACAAAAAAGAAAUGGGAAUACGGCUAAACCUAUACUUCCUUCUUCGGUAUUAUGAAAAAUGAUACGCCACGGACAAAAUACGUACGCUCACUAGUUCUUUAACAAUCGUGUAUUUAUCAUUUUUGAUUAGUGAAAUAAAACACGUGCGAGUGUAUCGGAUUACUUCGUCUUACAUUCGCUUUAAUAAGCUCAAUCGACAAUCCUUGCAGCAAUGAUAAUAUCUAAAUAAGUGGUCCGCUACUUUCAUUUUUCACGAUAUAACAAUAUCGUUUUACGCAUAAACAAAUUUCGUUAUCGUCUCGUUUGCAUUAUCUCUAAUCACUCGUCGCGUUAACUUAAUACGUAGAAUAAAUAUUAAACAAAAAAAAAAAACAAAAAAAAAUCACUUUACCACUUUUCAAAUGAAUUUAUUUAUAUUUGUAAAAUGUAUCCAAACUUUCCUUCCAUUUUUCUUUUCUUUAAUUAAGCUUGCAUAAAUUAAAAAACAAUUUGUCUCACUUAAACGAAAAAAAAUAGAAUAGAAUAGUACACACGAAACAUUUUUACAAAAUUUCAAUGAUCACGUAAAGAAAUGUACCAACAUUUUUCAAAUGAAUUUAUUUAUAUUUACAAAUGCAUUCAGAUUUUCCUUCCAUUUAAAUGUUUAAUCUAUAUAAAUACAACUCGUUGUUUUAUUUCGACGAUAAAAUAAUACACGCGAAAAAUUUUUGUAUAAAAAUCACGAAUAAAAAUGUAUCGAAACAACAAUAUUCGAAAAUAUCAAUAAAACAUCAAAUUUUAUUACAAGACACAGACUUACGAAAACAAUGAAUCGUAUCGUCGUUCUCGGGACUGGCAGCGGUAUAACUACAAGUGCAAAUGCAGAAGAGUUUUCUUUUUGUGUCGCGAAUGGUCUCGCAACGACUCUGCCGAUCGAGCGCCAUACCGAUCAAGCAAUACAGCUCGUCACCACGCGUUCAUCGUGUCGAGUCGACUCAAAGAAAGAGGGUGGAUGGAAAGCAGGCUAGUUGGUGAGAAAGGAGGUGGAACAAUCGGGCAAAUUUCCUCUGGUACGACUGAUUAUAGCAUGGCAAUAGCAUUGGUUAGAUUUGAAUUCGAGUUCGCAAAGGAUUCCUUGCCAUGAGGAUGAGGUGUGCAUUAAGUCGAAUGCAGAGAUAAAUUUAGAGGAGAAUCGAAUGGAUAUAUAAUUUUUCGUUCUUAAUUUGGUCCAGUUUCCAAACUCAUCAGGCUAAUGGUCGAUGUUAUAAUUAUCGAUGCUUGGACGAAAUGUUAUUUUUGGCAUCGUUCGUGUGGAGUAUACGAGACGACAAAUCAUUUUCGAUCAUGAGGAAACAGUAAAUGCUAAUCGAACAAAUCUUUUAAGUUUUCAAUUUCCGAUUCUAGUGGGAGAAUUAAACGAAGUUGUAACAUGAACUAAAAAAUAUCAUCAAAGCAAAAAAGUAUAAUUUUAAAUUUUGUAGAUUAACAAUAUAUCAAUGCGAAAUUGGACAUUCCGUUUUUAUACAAAUUUUGAUUAUAAAAUAUUAGCCGUAUCGCUGUAAUGAGAAUACAAAAGGACGACGAGGGAUAGCACUGGUCAUAAUUUAUCGUUGGCAUUUCUCAUUGUCGUCUGUCUCUGUUCCACGCUUUGAAAAAUAAGAAAAGCGCGCGACACGCGUUCGAAAGUUGAAAAGAUAUAAAUUAGUAUAAUUUCGCGCCUCGAAUUUUUCUUACUUUACAAAAUAAAGUCUUUUGUUACUUUUUUCGAUUAUCACGAAGAUAUUUCACUAUGUUUAAUCAGACAGCUAAAUAAAUAUAUAGUGAUUCCAGGAGCUUUUGAACGCAUCAGGAUUGAUCUUCUUUCGUGCCCUUCAUACGUAAUUUGAAACGGUGUUUAAUUUGAAAAUUUCAUGCAACGGAUUCUUUUUUUUUUUUUUCACAAACUCAAAUGGCUUAAAAUAUUUUAAUGGAAAAAGGAAUGAACGUGGUAUUUGUUUACAGAGAAAACGAAAGGUGCAAAGGUCUAAGUUUUUAAAUAUUCACAUGAAAUAAACCGACUUAUCAUUCUUCCACA